ensembl:lncRNA
CUCAGGAAUGGUAAUGGCUAGAGGCGUUCUGUUUUUUUCCUCGAAAAGAGGACACUUCAGGCUUGUGCGUUGUAAAUGGGCUGUUCUAUGGGCAGGUCAGUGUCCAAUCAAAACUAUCGAGCGAUAUCACAAGGGGCUCAAAUAUCCAAUUGUAGAGCCUUUGUGCUCUGACAUAGUGUAUCAAAGAUGUCUUCUGAAGACGAGGAGUAGCUCCCCUGACUAGCUGGAUCGUCGACACGUCUGAAAAGCGGCUCUGAAUGCAAUAAUGGGGCAUAGCGGACCGUUAUCUUAGUCGGAAUAACACACAGGAUAACCUGCAACCCAGCAAAGUCCUUGUAACCACUUUUAAAGAUAAGACAGAAGUUGCUAAAAACAUUUUCCAUGUUAACAGUGCCAAGGAUCUCAUUGAUCAAAGCCUAGCCCAGCAAACUGGCUGUGUGCUUGACAGGUUGUUAAAGUAUAAUACUGAUUUCAUGGAAUACAUUGAUGUUGACAUGAAUGAGGAGGAACUGAAGGAUUUGGAUAGAUAUCACAUCUUUCUAUCAACACAAGGGACCCAAGUUGAAUGUGUGGAGGCAAAUCAAAAUCAGGCUCAACCACACACUGAAGGUGCAGGCGGUCAAUGGGAGGUACGUGUCAUUAUGAUAAUGAGUGUUUACAGUCACACAAUCUUCACAAUUAGCAUUGACAUUUAUUUCUUUUAAAGACUGAACCUAGUGCUAGUGAAGCUUGUCAGAGUGGUCCACUGGAG